rnacentral:tRNA from 1 species
GGGACCUUUGAGGAUUAGCUCUACCGCCUCCUAAGCGGUAGGUCGCGCGUUCGAAUCGCGCCAGUCCCG